UUAUAGUUUUUUUACGAUACAAUCUAUUUAAAUCGUCAAUACGUGCGAAUACAAAACAAGUAAGUCAUAAUUUCUUUUAAAUUUACAUUCGACCACAUCAUCAACAUGAUAGUUAUUUUCCUAACGUCUAAAUAUGCAGCAAAUUAUUAAUGUCCUUUAUUCCUUUUUUGCCAAAAGUAUCAUGUGAGAUAGCAAGCGACUCCACGUGUCAAACUGCAGGAAUCGUCGGUGGAGUUGCAGCUGUUGUUGUUGUUGGAUUUGUUCUGGUCGGAGUACUGGUGUACAUCCGUUCAAGACGAAAUGAACAGCCUCAAUCUUCGGAAUAUGAAACAACCAAUGUGCGUUCAAACGAGGCUACAGACCUACACGUAUAUUCUGGACUCAACGAACCCGGAAAUGAUCAUUCGAACCAGGGAUAUUAUAAUACAUAAGAAGAUAGAAACAUCCCUGUUGGAAAUGACAGAAGCUCUGACUACCCAAACGAUGCCCAUAACAACCAUCAAUGACUGUCAAGAAACAAUUUAUGUAAUUAAUUCGAACUACUCGUGCAGUACUAGAAAUACCGCUACAUUUAACGAAGAUUAUAUUCCAGUCUUAAAAGAACUACAGUUAAAUGUUCAGUAAACUGUAAACGGUUGCCUGGUCGAUAUUAUCAUUAUUUCACAAAAUACAAUUAAAAUCGUUAGAUAGAAGAUUACUCACAUUGUUUUUAUUGCUGUUAGUUGAAUGUAUCAAUUUAGUCAUUUUACCUCAUUGACCAUGCUGCGACGUGUGAACUUCAAAUGUAAAAGGUUAUUACUUAAUUCCAAAU